rnacentral:sRNA from 1 species
UUUUAGCCCCGAUAGCAGCGGCAUCCUUUAUGUUCUUUCUUUAAGAACAUAAAGAUAGAGCGGAGAGCGGGAUUAGCU